AUGUCGUUUCUGAAAAGUUUAGCUUAUGGGAUACCCUUGCAUCCUUUACCUCAAGUAAAGAAACGAGAUGAAUCAACUCCACAUGCUCCAGUCAGAAAUACAUAUUUGACUUCAGAAGAAGAACAAUUGGCUCUCCAGAAUAAUCUCAGGUAUUUUCCAAGCCACCUUCAUCAUGAACUUGCCCCAGAGUUUGCAAAAGAGUUGAAAACCUAUGGGCAUAUAUAUAUGUAUCGAUUUAUACCCGCGUUUGAGAUGCGGGCAUAUCCAAUUGAUGAUUAUCCGGCGAAUUGCAAAGAAGCAGCUGCAAUCAUGCUCAUGAUCAUGAAUAACCUCGACCCACGUGUAGCUCAGUUUCCGCAAGAGCUGGUAACUUACGGUGGGAAUGGUCAAGUAUUUUCAAACUGGGCCCAAUUUUGGUUAGUGAUGAAAUACCUCAGCAAAAUGAGUACGUCCCAAACCUUGGUGAUGAUGUCUGGACAUCCAUUAGGUCUCUUCCCAUCCAAUUCCUUAGGACCUCGCAUGGUGAUUACGAAUGGGAUGAUGGUGCCUAAUUACUCGACGAGGAGGAAUUAUGAUCGUCUGUUUGCCAUGGGUGUCACGAUGUAUGGACAGAUGACAGCUGGUAGUUAUUGCUAUAUUGGUCCUCAAGGAAUUGUCCAUGGCACCACAUUAACCUUAAUGAACGCAGGAAGGAAGUAUUUGCAUUCAAAUAACAUGAUGGGCAAGGUAUACAUCAGUUCUGGUCUUGGAGGGAUGAGCGGCGCUCAGGCAAAAGCUGCAGUGAUAUGUGGAUGUAUUGGAGUCAUAGCAGAAAUUGAUAAAAGUGUUCUCCAGAAGCGUUUUGAUCAAGGAUGGGUUCAAGAAAUUAUUGAUGAUUUGGAUACUUUAAUUGCACGUAUUCGAGAAGCGAAGAAGAACAGAAUAGCCACAAGCAUUGGGUUUUGGGGCAACAUCGUCAAUGUUUGGGAAAGGAUUAAAAUUGAAUAUGAAAAUACAGGAAAACUGCUUGCAGAUUUAGGUUCUGAUCAAACAUCAUGUCAUAAUCCAUUUGACGGUGGUUACUUUCCUGUACAGUUGACAUUUGGAGAAGCAAAAUCAUUAAUAACUUCUGAUCCAACUCGAUUCAAAGAUCUAGUGCAAGAAAGUCUCAGGCGUCAUAUAUCAGCGAUUAACUUCUUAUCAGAAAAAGGUUUAUUUUUCUGGGAUUAUGGCAAUGCAUUUCUUCUUGAGGCUCAUAGAGCAGGUGCCGAUGUGGGAGCGAAGGAAGAAAAUGGACGACUCGUCUUUCGAUAUCCGUCUUAUGUACAGCACAUAAUGGGGGAUAUCUUUUCACUAGGAUUUGGUCCUUUCAGGUGGGUAUGUACCUCUGGAAACAAACGAGACCUGCAAACUACAGACAAUAUAGCGGCAUCUGUUCUGGAAGAUAUUGUGGAAGAAGGAGUACCACCUUUAGUGGAAGAUCAGUACAGAGACAACAUCAAAUGGAUUAAAGAAGCUGCAAGUCAUUGCCUUAUUGUAGGUUCACAAGCUAGGAUUCUGUAUGCAGACCACAAAGGAAGACUGAGAAUAGCAUUAGCAUUUAAUCAAGCUUUAAAAGACGGCCUCAUAGAAAGCCCAAUAGUUUUAAGCCGCGAUCACCAUGAUGUCAGCGGCACCGAUAGUCCAUUCCGUGAAACCUCCAAUAUCAGCGAUGGUUCUGCGUUUUGUGCAGAUAUGGCUGUUCAAAACUGCAUUGGAGAUGCUUUCCGAGGAGCUACAUGGGUCGCCUUGCAUAACGGAGGAGGCGUUGGCUGGUUAAUAAUUUUGAUAAAAUUAAGCUCAUCAGAUUAGUGCUACAGGGGUGAGGCUAUUAAUGGAGGAUUUGGAUUAUUGCUCGAUGGUAGUCAAGAAACAGAACAAAAGGCUAGAAUGAUGUUGACAUGGGAUGUCCUCAAUGGAGUUGCAAGGCGAUGCUGGUCAGGAAACAGCAAUGCCAUGAUU
rnacentral:misc_RNA from 1 species